CAGCCGCCGCGGUAAUACGAAGGGUGCAAGCGUUACUCGGAAUUACUGGGCGUAAAGCGUGCGUAGGUGGUGGUUUAAGUCCGUUGUGAAAGCCCCGGGCUCAACCUGGGAAUUGCAGUGGAUACUGGGUCACUAGAGUGUGGUAGAGGAUAGUGGAAUUUCCGGUGUAGCAGUGAAAUGCGUAGAGAUCGGAAGGAACAUCUGUGGCGAAGGCGACUAUCUGGGCCAACACUGACACUGAGGCACGAAAGCGUGGGGAGCAAACAGGAUUAGAUACCCCUGUAGUCCCUGUCUCUUAUAC
rnacentral:rRNA from 1 species